UGGGGAAUAUUGGACAAUGGGGGCAACCCUGAUCCAGCCAUGCCGCGUGAAUGAUGAAGGCCUUAGGGUUGUAAAGUUCUUUCGCCGGGGAAGAUAAUGACGGUACCCGGAGAAGAAGCCUCGGCUAACUUCGUGCCAGCAGCCGCGGUAAGACGAAGGAGGCUAGCGUUGUUCGGAAUUACUGGGCGUAAAGCGCACGCAGGUGGUGAGAAUAGUUGGAUGUGAAAGCCCGGAGCUUAACUUCGGAAAUGCAUCCAAUACUGUCUCGCUGGAGUCCGGAAGAGGAGAGUGGAAUUCCCAGUGUAGAGGUGAAAUUCGUAGAUAUUGGGAAGAACACCAGUGGCGAAGGCGGCUCUCUGGUCCGGUACUGACACUCAAGUGCGAAAGCGUGGGGAGCAAACAGG
rnacentral:rRNA from 1 species